ACCUAACAGCUAGCCCACUUUUCUUAAUUAAACUUAACCCCAAUAAUUUUUUAUUACACACACCCAACAAACCAUUUUUCCUCCUUAGUACGGGCGACGGAAAAGGAAAACAGGAGCGACAGAGAAAGUACCGUAAGGGAAAGCUGAAAGAGAAAUGAAACAACCCUCUCAAGCCCAAGAAAGCAGAGUUUAAUCCUCGUACCUUUUGCAUCAUGAUUAAGCCAGAAUACUAAAGCGAAGCGCCCUUUAGUUUUUUUCCCCGAAACUAGACGAGCUACUCCGAGACAGCCUAAUAUAGGGCUAACCCGUCUCUGUGGCAAAAGAGUGGGAAGAGCUCUGAGUAGAGGUGAAAGACCUACCGAGCCUAGUUAUAGCUGGUUGCCUAGGAAAUGAAUAGAAGUUCAGCCCUCCCCAUACCCUCCCCCGACCGCAGUAAUUGCACAAUAAUGGCCCCAGGGUCCAACGAAGGCGUUAGUCAAAGAAGGUUCAGCUUCUUUGAACAAAGACACAACUUUUUCAGUAGGAUAAAGAUUAUAAUAAAACAAGGAAAAAUUGAUCUAGUGGGCCUAAAAGCAGCCACCUAAGCAAAAAGCGUUAAAGCUUAUUCAAGAGUACUAAUCCCCUAAUUCUAAUAACAAAAUCUUAUACCCCUAAACCUACUAGGCCGCCCCAUGCCCCCAUGGGAGAGACCAUGCUUAAAUGAGUAAUAAGAGGGAACGACCCUCUCCUAGCACACGUGUAAGCCGGAUCGGACUUACCACCGACAUUUAACGGACCCAGAUACAAGAGGGCAUUGAACUUCAACCCCAGUUUCCCACUAGAAGAACACUCAAAUUUAAUUUAACCGUUAACCCCACACAGGAGUGCCAUACCAGGAAAGACUAAAAGAUAAGGAAGGAACUCGGCAAACACAAGCCUCGCCUGUUUACCAAAAACAUCGCCUCUUGCAAGAAAAAGAAUAAGAGGUCCCGCCUGCCCUGUGACACAUAAAGUUUAACGGCCGCGGUAUUUUGACCGUGCGAAGGUAGCGCAAUCACUUGUCCUUUAAAUGGGGACCUGUAUGAAUGGCACCACGAGGGCUUAGCUGUCUCCCUUGUCCAGUCAAUGAAAUUGAUCUUCCCGUGCAGAAGCGGGACUGGCCCCAUAAGACGAGAAGACCCUGUGGAGCUUUAGGUAAUCGAACGGACCCUAUAAAACCCACUCAAACACCCGAGUCGACCCCCUUUUAUGAACCUACCGUUUUAUUAUGCCUUUGGUUGGGGCGACCGUGGAGAAAAGAAAAACCCCCGUGAGGAUCAAAAGCCGAUAACUUUUAAUGACCGAGGGCCUACCACCCAAAGUAACAGAAUCUCUGACCCUAACUGAUCCGGCCUCUAGGCCGAUCAACGAACCAAGUUACCCCAGGGAUAACAGCGCAAUCCUCUCCCAGAGCCCAUAUCGCCGAGGGGGUUUACGACCUCGAUGUUGGAUCAGGACAUCCUAAUGGUGCAGCCGCUAUUAAGGGUUCGUUUGUUCAACGAUUAACAGUCCUACGUGAUCUGAGUUCAGACCGGAGUAAUCCAGGUCAGUUUCUAUCUAUGUAAUUGUUCUUCUCUAGUACGAAAGGACCGAGAAGAUAGGGCCCAUGUUUAUGACACGCCCUCCCCUCACCUGAAGAAAACAACUAAAAUAUGCAAGAGGACACGCCCCGUCUGCCCAAACAUAGAGGCACGAAAAUCCACGUUUUC
rnacentral:rRNA from 1 species